UACGUAGGGUGCAAGCGUUAAUCGGAAUUACUGGGCGUAAAGCGUGCGCAGGCGGUUAUGCAAGACAGAUGUGAAAUCCCCGGGCUCAACCUGGGAACUGCAUUUGUGACUGCAUGGCUAGAGUACGGUAGAGGGGGAUGGAAUUCCGCGUGUAGCAGUGAAAUGCGUAGAUAUGCGGAGGAACACCGAUGGCGAAGGCAGUCCCCUGGACCUGUACUGACGCUCAUGCACGAAAGCGUGGGGAGCAAACAGG
rnacentral:rRNA from 1 species